UUAAAGGUAAACCUAGGGAAACUUAGGGACACAAAGCCAAGGGUCUAAGGCGUAAGCUAAUGACAGCCGGUUGC
rnacentral:ncRNA from 1 species